UACGAAGGGUGCGAGCGUUAUUCGGAAUUAUUGGGCGUAAAGGGUGCGUAGGCGGCGUGUUAAGUCAACUGUUAAAGACCUCGGCCUAACCGGGGACCGGCGGUAGAUACUGGCAUGCUAGAGGGUGGAAGAGAGAAGUGGAAUUCUUGGAGUAGCGGUAAAAUGCGUAGAUCUCAAGAGGAACACCGAUGGCGAAGGCAGCUUCUUGGUCCACAUCUGACGCUGAUGCACGAAAGCAUGGGGAGCAAACAGG
rnacentral:rRNA from 1 species